GUGCCAGCAGCCGCGGUAAUACGUAGGGCGCAAGCGUUGUCCGCCAGCAGCCGCGGUAAUGAGCUCGUAGGCGGUUUGUCGCGUCUGCUGUGAAAGCCCGGGGCUCAACCCCGGGUCUGCAGUGGGUACGGGCAGACUAGAGUGCAGUAGGGGAGACUGGAAUUCCUGGUGUAGCGGUGAAAUGCGCAGAUAUCAGGAGGAACACCGAUGGCGAAGGCAGGUCUCUGGGCUGUUACUGACGCUGAGGAGCGAAAGCAUGGGGAGCGAACAGGAUUAGAUACCCUGGUAGUCC
rnacentral:rRNA from 1 species